rnacentral:rRNA from 1 species
UGUCGCCUCAUCCAAGUAAGAUUACCCGCUGAACUUAA